UACGGAGGGGCUAGCGUUGUUCGGAAUUACUGGGCGUAAAGCGCACGUAGGCGGCUUUGUAAGUUAGAGGUGAAAGCCCGGGCUCAACUCCGGAAUUGCCUUUAAGACUGCAUCGCUAGAAUUGUGGAGAGGUAAGUGGAAUUCCGAGUGUAGAGGUGAAAUUCGUAGAUAUUCGGAAGAACACCAGUGGCGAAGGCGACUUACUGGACACAUAUUGACGCUGAGGUGCGAAAGCGUGGGGAGCA
rnacentral:rRNA from 1 species